GACCCUUCUUAAGCCGAGGGUCACCUAGCCAACUGACGUUGUUAGUGAACCUCUUUGUUCACACUAUAUAUAAGCCAAUUGCCACUUUUGCAGUUGGCUAUUUUUU
rnacentral:sRNA from 1 species